AUUUUGAUUCAGCACAGUCCACGGAAUUGAAUGGAAUUUGGGGAAGAACAAGAAACGAAGAGGAAGAAGGGCAGAGAGGGAGAGGGGUUGGUUGUAGUAAGAGAAGGUCCACGCAGCGCAACCUCAACCUGAACCACUGCGAAUUCAACGCUCAUGCUCUCUCUCAAUUCCAUUUCUCAAUUCCUCGUUCCAUUCAUCUGUGGCUGUGUUAAAUUCCCCAUUCUUCAUCGUCGCCCUUCAGAGAAACCAACCUCUCGGGGCGCAGCCAUGAUUACUCGAUCGAAUCUGGUUGAACAGUUGAGAGAAUACCAGAUUCGAUCCAAGCACGACUGGGCUUCCGCCUCCUUCUUCUCCUCUACCUCUAAUAUUACAUCCUCCAGGGUGGAUGUAGUCAUUUUUGUAAUAUGGGAACUCAUAAUUCUAUCCUUCUUGGUGUUUUCGGCGGUCUCUUUAUAUUUUCGACAUAUACAGUUGACUUUCGUUUUAGUAUG